rnacentral:lncRNA from 1 species
CUUGUGAUAGGGAGACAGGAGUCCUAGGAAGGAAAUGGAACUGGUGAUAGGGAGACAAGAGUCCUAGGAAGGAAAUGGAACUUGUGAUAGGGAGACAAGAGUCCUAGGAAAUGGAAGGAGAGCACGUUUCACUCUGUCCAGCAGAGGGCAGCAGCUACCCACAAAUCAACAGCUGAGCAAGGCCAGGGCUGUGUGGGAGCUAUGCACAGGUUCUGCCUCCAGAAGCCUUCAGUGCCUGCCUCUGAGCCAGAGGGUUCCAAGCAGAAGAGGUCCCGCCCCCGGAGAGGGACCUCAGAGAGGUCCUCCAAGCCCCUCUCAGCUCUUACUUACGGCAUCCCAGAUGCCCUAUUCCUCUUCUGCAGAGAGAAGGUGGUUCAGCCACUAAAUGGUGCUGGGACCUCGCAGUUUGGUGGGAAGGAGGAAGCUUACUCAAGCAAGGAAUAUGAGACAGGCAAAAACCCACGCAUAAGCCAAAAGCCCCUCCAAAGCGAGGUGUUGUUCCAGGCUGACAAGUGUCCAGCAGGGUGGACUUCAGACUCCCUGUUAGGAACUGAAUUGUGUCCCCCAAAAAGAGAAAGUCACCCCAGGGUAUGACCUAAUUCAGGAAAGGUCAUUGCAGAUGCAUUUAAUUAAAUGAAGAUGAGCUCAUGCUGGAGUAGGGUGGACUCUGAACCCAGUGGGACAAGCGUCCUUAUUAAGAAGAGGGAAAUCUGGACACACACAGAGCAGAGACCGCCGUGUGAAGAUGGAGGCAGAGAUCGGAGAGAUGCUGCCACACGCCACAAAUGCCUGGGGCUCCCAGAAACUACACGGAGCCUCCCCCAGCGGCUUCAGCAGGAGCAUGGCUCGGCCAACACUUUGAUCUUGGUCUUCCAGCCUCCAGAACGGUGAGUCGUUUUCCUAAAAUUCCCUUUUCCACUGGUGUGUGGUGCAAGAUGAGGCACAUUUUCCAUGGAUGGUGAACAGAGGGAGGAGCCUUUUGAUCACAACCAGGUCACCCCACUUCUAAGCCACUGUGCCUCCAGCCCCACAAGACUAAGGAGAGAGAGCGCAGCGUGGUGGAGAGUGAGCUGUGCUGGGACCAUUGUUUCCGUAACCUCGUUUUCUGUGUCCAGCUGACACACCUUCAAAGUGGCAUCAGGUCCUAAACUGUAGCUUGCAAUGUGCCUGUUUCCAGAAACCAAGGUGAAAGUGCUUUUAGACAGUGUUCCCAUGCAAGAGUCCCUUCCCAGCUUUUUUCUGGAAAUGCAUGUUUCUCUGAACUCUGAGUCCCAAGAAAAAUCACUUGAGACACCAAGAAAAUGGGGGAAGUGCUAAAAUUGUGUGGGAAUUCAAGCUUAACAAUAAACAUCAAGACAUUUUUGAUAAAAAUGAAUCCACUGACAUCGGGGAGGAGCAAGAGAACAGCACGCUGACACUGGGUCAGAGGCUAAGACCGACAUUUCUGGGAACCACUCCCGGAAGGGCACAGAGGAGACGCUUUCAGCCUCUCAUCAGCCAGCCUGGCCUGUAGCUGCUGCACGUUAUGAGUGUGUUCCUGGCAUGACUGCUUCUAACAGUGAGUUUUCUGGCAAAUCAAAUAAAUACUAAUAAGUCUGUAUGCACAUUAUACUUUAUACAAAUCCUAUGAGUGAUGUUCCAGAAAUAACAAGUUUUGAAGGCAAAAUAAGUCCUUAAAUUGGCAACUUUGACACAUAAUUCCAUGUAGUAGUUAAUCUUGCUAGAAGAUCCCAAUGUUGUUAUUCUAAUACAAUCUGAUAAUGUUCACUGGCAUUUUCCACUGUUGGCAUCUUUACUAUAGCCUACAGUUGUUUGUUUGUUUAUUUGAGAUGGAGUCUUGCUCUGUUGCCUAGGCUAGAGUGCAGUGGCGUGAUCUUGGCUCACUGCAACCUCCCCCUCCCAGGUUCAAGCAGUUCUCCUGCCUCGGCCUCCCUAGAAGCUGGGAUUACAGGCACGUGCUACCACGCCCAGCUAAUUUUUGUAUUUUUGGUAGAGACGUGGUUUCAUCAUAUUGGCCAGGCUGGUCUUGAACUCCUGACCUCAGGUGAUCAGCCUGUCUCGGCCUCCCACACACAGUGCUGGGGUUACAGGUGUGAGCCACGAUUCCUGGCUGCCUACAGUUCUUUGUAAAGCAGACAAAAUAGUUUCAUUUUUUAAAGAAAUGAACAUAUAUGAGGCAACCUGUACCUAACUUAGGAGUUCAGAAAUUCCCUGGACUGCCUAUACAUUUUGGUUUCUCAUUCCUAAUUCCCAAAGAUUAAAAUCUGUCAGGAAUUUGGAAACAUUGAAUCACAGGCCAAAAUAGGACCAUGUCUCCAUUCAUUCAUUCAUUCAACAAUUAUUUAUUGAGCGCAUGCUAUUUUUCAGGCACUGUGCCACAUAUUGAGAAUAGAGUAGUGAGUAAGACAAAGUCAUCACUUUAGGGAGUUUAUAUUUUAGAGGAGAGAAAGACAAAUGAAAGUGUUUAGGCUGGGCAUGGUGGCUCACACCUGUAAUCCCAGCACUUUGGGAGGUCAAGGCAGGUGGAUCACCUGAGCUCAGGAGUUCAAGACCAGCCUGGGCAACAAUCCCAUCUCUAACAAAAACAUAAAAAAUUAACCAGGUGUGGUAGCACAUGCCUGUGGUCUCAGCAACUUGGGAGGCUGAGGUGGAAGGAUCUCUUGAGCCUGGGAGGCAGAGGUUGCAGUGAGCUGAGGUUGUGACACUGGACUUCAACCUGAGUGACAGAUCCCAUCUCAAAAACAACCCUGGGCCGGGUGUGGUGGCUCACACCUGUAAUCCCAGCACUUUGGGAGGCCGAGGCAGGAAGAUCUUGAGGUCAGGAGAUUGAGACCAUCCUGGCUAACAUGGUGAAACCCCGUCUCUACUAAAAAUACAAAAAAUUAGCUGGGCAUGGUGGCGGUUGCCUAUAGUCCCAACUACUCGGGAGGCUGAGGCUGGAGAAUUGCUUGAACCCGGGAGGCAGAAGUAGCAGUGAGCCGAGAUUGCACCGCUGCACUCCAGCCUGGGCAACAGAGUGAGACUCCAUCUCAAAAG